rnacentral:rRNA from 1 species
AACGAACGCUGGCGGCAGGCCUUAUACAUGCAAGUCGAGCGCAUCCUUCGGGAUGAGCGGCGGACGGGUGAGUAACGCGUGGGAAUGUGCCCUUCUCUACGGAAUAGCCACUGGAAACGGUGAGUAAUACCGUAUACGCCCUCAGGGGGAAAGAUUUAUCGGAGAAGGAUCAGCCCGCGUUAGAUUAGGUAGUUGGUGGGGUAACGGCCUACCAAGCCUACGAUCUAUAGCUGGUUUUAGAGGAUGAUCAGCCACACUGGGACUGAGACACGGCCCAGACUCCUACGGGAGGCAGCAGUAGGGAAUCUUGGACAAUGGGGGCAACCCCGAUCCAGCCAUGCCGCGUGAGUGAAGAAGGCCCUAGGGUCGUAAAGCUCUUUCGCCUGUGAUGAUAAUGACA